ACCUGCAGAAUAAGCCUCUUGAUAGAUCUGCUAGGUCAGCUUUUCUUUCUAAAAUGUUGAUUUACUUUAUUACACAUUUGAAUGUAUGGCACAUGAUAGCAUGCUAAAUCUUAGAAAUUAAUGCAAUGUUAUCAACCAAAAAAAAAAAAAAACAAAGUAAUGAGUAUGUUGAAGGGUGGAUCACAAACAGAUGAGCAUCUUGUAUAAUAACUUUUUUUUCCUUAAAAUUUUUAAUGUGUUCAUGGUAGAAAAAUGUGAGAUCAGAAAUGAAUAUAAAGAAGAAAAUUGAUGUUUCAAAUGCUACUUAAAAUAUAUAGUGAGAAGGUUUCUGAUGGAAAGUAUCAGAUAUUGCUCUUGCCUCUUAAUUGUGAAUGCAUGAAUGAGCUUGAGGUUAACAUACACAAGGCUGAAUCCUGAGCCUUAACUACAUAAUUUGCUUUGUAAUGUCAGUUUCAUGGGCAUAACAAAGAUUAUACUAUUGUUGCUCCAGUUGUUCUACAGAAAAAAAUGAAGUUAAUAUUUUGUCCAUGACAAACUCAAAUUCUCCCAAAUACAUUUAUCACUUUUUCUUACUUGUGGCCACUUAUUGAGUGUGUUGUAAAAUGUGGUAUUCUUACACUUAAAUGAUAGAUCCACAAUUCAAAAUAAAAAAAGUAGAAAAACCAUAGCAGUUUUUCCUGAUUUAUUUGAAAGCAAACAUGUCCUGACAUUAGAACUUAAAGAAAAAAGACUUUAAACUAUUUAUAACUUUUGGAAAAGGCAGACUCACUUGCACAGUCUAUCAACCUCUGCUGAUUGCUGCUCAGUUACAUAAGAAUGGGCUUUGAGCCUGGAACAUUUCCUUACCAAGAGAGAAAGAGCCCACACUGCCUAUGCCAAGCUUAUCACUUUGUGCGGAAAUAUCUUUCCCUGUUUCAGACUCAAUGAGUGUUCCCUUGUUUUGCUUAAGCUUGUGAGUCUGUGGUCUCCAAACAGUCCCCCAGACAUCAGUGUUUCAGACCCCACAGGGGAGGGAUUGAGGUCCUACUGAGGCGUAUGAGGGGUACAGGCACUGCAUCUUCUGCCGGGAGAGAUACCCUAGUCAUGGGAGACCAACACACAUCAUUGAAGCCGAUCUUGCUCUGUCUGUCCUCUACACAGUAAGUACUCACUGAACAUUCUCAAUACGUUCUUGGAACAGUUCAGCAUGGCUGUGGAGGCCUCAGGAAACAUAAUCAUGGCGGAAGGCGAAGGGGAAGCAAGGCACCUUUUUCACAAGGUGGCAGGAAGGAGAAGUGCUGAGAGAAGGGGAAA
rnacentral:lncRNA from 1 species